GAACGCCUCAGCAGCCAGAAGCUCACGAGGGACCGCUGUAAACACGUUGAUUUCUUCGCCGACGAAGCCGCUCAGUUCUUGCUUAUCUGUUGCGUGGACCGGAAAGACCGUCUUGGCCAAGUCUGCCCCCGCUCCGAGGGUAUACGCCACUCUUCGUCACCGGGGGCUCCUCCAGAUUUGUCAUCGCGUCGUUUAUCGGUUCUUGUGGACAGUUCAACGUCUUGGCCUUCCUCUCCUUCUUGCGCAUUCGUCUCGAGUGCCUGACAAGAUAAAACCUGGUCGAAGGUGCUCUCGUUUCCCCAGUAAGAUUGGAGGCACGGACAUGGCAGAACUCAUCUGGAUGCGUUUGCUCGUCACAGUGGCCCUGCUGGCGCUGUGCAAUGGCCAGCACAGGCUCUACACUCGGCUCGACGAAGUCGAGAAACUGAUCACCGAUGUGAAGGACCAGCUUCAAGUCGAGAACAACCUGAGGACCACGCAGACUGUCCAUUUCCAGAUGUCCCUGGAAAAAGUAGAGAAGCAGCUCCAAGAUGUCUCUUCCAAGAUCUCAACGCUGUCCUCGGGUGGCGAGAGCGGUCAAGGCUCGGUUGAGUUUAGCAGCAGGUUGAGGAGCCUGGAGUCUGCAUUCAACACGCUCCAGGGCGACGUCAGCGAGAAGGUGGACACCAGCAUCGCGAAGCUGGGCGAAGUCGACACUAAGACGACAAAGAUGAAGGACGACAUGGACAGCAAGUUGAAGAAGGUGAUGAACGGGAUCAACACCAUCUAUGACAUGAAUAAGGAGAUGAAGUCUUCGAUGGCCUCAGCAAGGGGUCUCCCAGAGGCAGGGUCUAGAAGGGACUCUCCACCCGGAGGCGGAGACACGUCCAUGUCCUUCCUUCUGGACACCAUCGAUGACACUCAACGAAAGAUGCACGAGCAACUGGAUCUUCUCAAGAACCAGAUGGGUCGCAAGUUGGAAGGUUUGGAGGUUCUCACCAACAGCCUCAUAGAGCAGAACGACGCUCUUCUAACGGAGAUCGAGAAGAUCCAAGAGCAGUGUCCAACUGGAAAAGAACGCCCAGCCGAGAGCACACAGCAGCCCAAGGGACCCCGGAGAACUAUGGUCGGCCAAAACGGAACAUCCGAGCUGUCUAACCGAGUCCUCAUGGAGAUCAAGAUGGGGCAACUCGAGAUGAAGAACGAUAUCAGCAAGAUGAUGAGGGAAGUCGAAAGCAGCAUGGUAGAUAUCAGGCAGUGUCGUAGCGCAGAACAGGCUCCUCGCCCAACUGUCAGUCGUUUUCCACCUGUUGCUGUUAGAGACACCGACUUGAAACCUUCAGAGAGUGUGGUGAGCAGUGCUCGGCGAGACGCACCCUCGGGCACACCACAGCAGUCUGUUGGCGAAAAAUGCGUGACGACAACGCACGUGAUGAGUCCCCGAAACUGCGCAGACCUUAGGACUGGAGGGGCAACCUGCGACGGAGUGUACAUUGUCUACACACAGGGUGUUCGCGCUGUCAGAGUAUUCUGCGACAUGAGCAACGAUGGUGGAGGAUGGACGGUGCUGAUGCGCAGGGGAAAAUACGCCCAGUGGCCUCUCAGCUUCGAACACGACUGGAACGGCUACAAGCACGGCUUCGGAGACAUCGAGAAAGAGUUCUGGCUCGGCAACGACUUCAUCCAUAUGCUGUCCACGGAGAAAGACAUGAUGCUUAGGGUCACCCUGGAGACCUUCGAGGGCGAGAAGAUUGACCUGGACUACGAAGCGUUCGUCGUGGGUUCUGAGAACGAGAACUACCGUCUCAGGGUCGGAGAUUACCUGGGCUCCGACCCCAGGGUGGGAAACAGUCUGAGGAGACACAGCGAGCAGCUCUUCAGCACUGACGACAGGAACCCGGCGAGGAGGUACAACAACUGCGCCAAGACCCACAAGGCCGGAUGGUGGUUCCACAGCUGCUACAGCGUCCUGCUCACGGGAGAGUAUUCGCAGGACAGGAACACUCCAUCGACCAAAGGUAUCCGUUGGCCCUCCUGGAAGACUGUGCCCCUGAAGGCGGUGGAGAUGAAGAUCAGGCCCAAGAACUUCCGACAACCUUAGGAAGCUUGGCAUCCCGAAUUUCGUGAAUCUUGGGUAUCACACAUGGAGACGCCAUCGCUGCGCCAUUUUUGGCGGUCAUUACUACUUGUUCUUCCCGAGCAAAAAGAAAUUCGGUGAAAUGAAAUGUACGCUGCAGAAGGGUACACGCUCGGCAGAAAGGCUACUGAUAUGUCGUUAAUGCGAGCCAUGUAGAUGCAUUCUUUUUCUCUUUAUAAAAGACGACAAAAGGAGUUCACACGAUAUCGGGCUGCCAUGACUAUGUGGACAGGUUAGCUUACUGACCAGUCAUAUUGAAUGUGUUGUGACGCGCAAUCUUUAUUGAGAAUAUCCCGGUUGUUUUUGUGCUACAAAGUUUGAUAGCUUCAGUUUAUAUUACCGAUAGGAAAUGAUAAAAAGGAGGGAAAGAAGAGAAAGUCGGGAUUAAUGAAAUGUUGAUUCAGAACUGUACUUUCAAGUCGAAAAGAAAAUUUAAGAUAAAUUAAUGCGCCAUAUUUAAACCCAUCUCAGUCUUGCAAAAUUUGUUCUUUUUUUUUCAAUAAUUGUGCCUGGCUUAAGUUUUCAAGGGAAUGAGACAUAUCACCGCAAGCAUAAUACCAAACUUGUGCCGCAUAACUUGCACCUGGGCAACACCGAGUGACGCAGCCUGUUUUCUCUCCGAGUAGCUAUCAAUACUUUCCACAUAAAAACGCUGGUUAUAAUCGCAGGGUUUAUCAUCUGGUGAUAAAAAUUUAGAGAUGCAUUCUUCGCGUACACGAAAGAGUUCAUUCCGACGAGGACAGCAGAAAACAAGCAAGAUUAUCUAAAAGAGGGAUCUGUUUGGCAAUCACUAUUUUAAAACGUUUUAUGUUUCAGUUCUUCUUCACAUCUUUUCCAACGUGCCUUCGAUUCACAAAUAAAAUAAGCAUAAUUGAGAUGUUUUAGAGGACGUAUAUAUAGUCAUCUUAUCCCGGUUGAGGUUCGAGCUUCAUCAAACUGACCAGGUUUCGAGAGCAACAAAUAACGAGUCUUCAAAUUAUAUUUUAGUGGUUUUUUACCGAUAUAAAGAACCCGUAAAACAGCGUCUAAGACACUAAUUCAUUGAUAUUCUAGGGAACGAGUAAUAUAUCCCUUCUUUUUUUUUAAUGUGUGUACACUGAACCGUUUUACCGUCAAGUCCAUGCUGUUGCUAGUACUUUACAAUAAAAAUCAGUGAAGCGUGUAUAGCAUGCCGCGAAAUUGCGGCCAUACUGUCGGUCCUUGCAUGUAAUUAGAUUUUUAUUGUUCGCGCUUUUGUCUUUGUUUGUUUGUUAAGUUAUUAAGUGUACACUGCGUGCCGGUGGCCACGAGGAGAUUUACGUGUUGAAUAAAGGCAGCUGCUUCCA